rnacentral:lncRNA from 1 species
UCGAUAGUGUCUAAAUGCUAUCAAACUUAACAUACCUGAAUGUCAAUCGCAGAAGUCGAAAGGAAAUGGACAACACCGAGGCCUGAGGAAAACAGGAGAUGACGACAAAACACACCCCACUUCUCUACAUAGAAGUCGGACGGACACUGACAACACUGUGGCUUUAGGAAAAAGAUGAUGACAAAACACACUCCACUUCUCUACAUAGAAAAUCAAGUAGCAUCACCAUGU